UUAUCUGUGGGUUUGCUUGCAAGUCAAUACUAUCAAGCGGGUUUCUAUAAUGUAAACGCAGCACGCACGAAGUUGCACUAAGCGUGGGCUCGGAAUAGUGUCAAGAAGUAAAGAGGCGCAGUCGGAUAC